UCCAGUAUGAUUCCUGUUCCACCCAAACUUUAAAACCAGCUGCCUGACAACUGCAGUAGCAUUUCUGUUCAGGCAGCAGGGAGGAGUCAAUUGACUUCAUGACUCUUUAUAAUCUUCCUGAUUCCUUCUAAACUCUUAAUUCUACAGGUGUCAAAGGCCCUCUCUCUUUUUAAUAGUCUUAAUGGUUUGCUAAUCAGGCUAUCCUUUCUGCUGCAAUACUGCUGUCUGUUAGCUGCUCUUGGAACCCUAUUAAGUACCACAUGAAAAACUGACACAUUGGAUAUGAUGCCUGCCAAAUGGUAACUUGCCAAGAUCUGGAGAAGACUUUGAGAGAUGGAUAUCCGGAUCCACUUCAGAUGGCUAGAACUUGGCCCUUGCUAACUUCAAAGGUUUGAAUGCCAUGAGCAGUGCAGCAAGGAUGUACCUUCUUUUUCAUACAGUGUUCCCUAGAAUAAGAUACCUGGCUUUUGAAAGGCAGAGUGAAGAAAAGAGAUCUUUCCUUCUGCUGUUCUGCAUGUCCUGCCAGGGUGACAGCAGCAGUGCAGACAAAUAUUCAGGUUUGAAACUCUAGAAGGUGAGACAGAGUGGACUACAGUGAAAAAGGUGUAAUUCCAACAUCACACACACAAAUCUAGAAUUUUGAAAAGCGGGGUGCAGAUGGUGUUGUGCAUCAUCACCAGGGAUCCUGGUUUUCUGUUUAAAAAUCCCAAAUUCUCUGAUUUUAAGCCCCCAAAUCUGUGCUUUUCUGUGAUUAAAAUGAAAUGGCACUAUAUAUAUAGGUAUCUGUUGAACAUAGUGUUUUACUGCUUUACAAUUGUAAAUAUAUCAAUCUGGAAGCCUACCAGAGCUUCAAUCAUUAAAAUAAAUUCUAAAUUUU